rnacentral:rRNA from 1 species
UUGAACGCUGGCGGCAGGCCUAACCCAUGCAAGUCGAGCGGAUGAAGGGAGCUUGCUCCUGGAUUCAGCGGCGGACGGGUGAGUAAUGCCUAGGAAUCUGCCUGGUAGUGGGGGAUAACGUCCGGAAACGGGCGCUAAUACCGCAUACGUCCUGAGGGAGAAAGUGGGGGAUCUUCGGACCUCACGCUAUCAGAUGAGCCUAGGUCGGAUUAGCUAGUUGGUGGGGUAAAGGCCUACCAAGGCGUCGAUCCGUAACUGGUCUGAGAGGAUGAUCAGUCACACUGGAACUGAGACACGGUCCAGACUCCUACGGGAGGCAGCAGUGGGGAAUAUUGGACAAUGGGCGAAAGCCUGAUCCAGCCAUGCCGCGUGUGUGAAGAAGGUCUUCGGAUUGUAAAGCACUUUAAGUUGGGAGGAAGGGCAGUAAGUUAAUACCUUGCUGUUUUGACGUUACCAACAGAAUAAGCACCGGCUAACUUCGUG